AUUGAACGCUGGCGGCAGGCCUAACACAUGCAAGUCGAACGAGUGGCGGACGGGUGAGUAAUGUCUGGGAAACUGCCUGAUGGAGGGGGAUAACUACUGGAAACGGUAGCUAAUACCGCCUACCAUCGGAUGUGCCCAGAUGGGAUUAGAUAGUAGGUGGGGUAAAGGCGCACCUAGGCGACGAUCCCUAGCUGGUCUGAGAGGAUGACCAGCCAUACGUGAACUGAGACACGGUCCGGACUCCUACGGGAGGCGGCAGGGGGGAAUAUCGCACAAUGGGGGCAAGCCUGAUGAAGCCAUGCCGCGUGGAUGAAGAAGGCCUUCGGGUUGUAAAGUACUUUCAGCGGGGAGGCGUUACCCGCAGAAGAAGCACCGGCUAACUACGUGCCAGCAGCCGCGGUAAUUC
rnacentral:rRNA from 1 species